UACGUAGGGCGCAAGCGUUAUCCGGAAUUAUUUGGGCGUAAAGAGCUCGUAGGCGGCUUGUCGCGUCGUUCGUGAAAACCUGCAGCUCAACUGCAGGCUUUGCGGUCGAUACGGGCAGGCUAGAGUUCGGUAGGGGAGACUGGAAUUUCCUGGUGUAGCGGUGAAAUGCGCAGAUAUCAGGAGGAACACCGGUGGCGAAGGCGGGUCUCUGGGCCGAUACUGACGCUGAGGAGCGAAAGCGUGGGGAGCGAACAGG
rnacentral:rRNA from 1 species